GAAAAGCCAAGGCUCCGGCUGGGAUCACAGCACGGGGCAGACACAGGGCCUGAGCCCCGGCGCCGCCCCCGGGACUCGCACUGGUCGGAGUCCUCAGCGGGGCCUCACCGUCCCCGCAGGCGACCCGAGCCCAUAUCUCUGCGGACAGGACGCACCGCGUAGCUGGUGAGGGGGCAACGGCCGCCGACCUCCAGGAACGACACUGCCCAGAAUCGUUCCUCAACCUGGGAGUCCCCGCCAGGCCUGAGGCUAUCGCGAGACUGACCCAGUGCACCGCCUAAGGCCAAGCCACAUUUUCUAGAAUCCUCCGCGUGCGGGACAAAAGUGCCGGGUGCAGCGAACCGCAAGCACCGGAAGACCACACUUCCCAAGAGUCUCUGCGGCGGCGCGGACGUGGUCAGCAGCGGGCAAACCGGUCUUGGCUUGUGGAAACUUGCCCUGUUUUUUAUGGAAUCUUUGGUACACUGGCCUUUGGAAACAAGGAACUAUUGGAUGCCUCCCUUGAUGUGGUCAAUGCUACUGAACCAGAAAAGGCAGCCUUUGAAAAAGUCCAGGAUUGCUACAAUGAGGCGGGAAUCACAUCUAAGUUAUUGGAUCUGCUUGUCAUGACCACCAUCACCACCAGCCCAGGAUGCAUCGCCUCUGGGCUGGACUCACUGGAAGAGGAUGUUAAAGAAAGCUUAUCUAAGCUGAACCCUUUCCAGAGAUGAAUCUUUGCCACUCGCGCCUGAUCUGAGCUCCAUCUUCCUGCCCUGUUCUCCUUCUCACAUGAAGCUGGAAUCCAGACACCUGCCCAAAUCGGAUUCAGUCUUUAUUAGUCUGACUAAUAAAACACCUGCAACUCA